GUGCGCUCCUGCGGACUGCUCUGAAGUGGCAGGACCUGCAGCAGCAGAGCAGAAAUGCUCCCCAACACCUCACUCUGCUCCCCAGCACGCUCUGCUUGGGCUCUGCCAUUUUGCAGCCAUGCAUCAUAUCUGUCUGCGGCUCACAUGUGCGUGAUCUCCAUGGCGACUUGGGCACUCGAGGUAGAAAUAUGAGCUGCAUCAUCUCCCCCUGUUGUCCAUCGACAUAAAAUGCAGUGUUCUGGAACAUGAGAAAGGCAAUACGUUUCCUCCAGUUCUUUGUAAGCUGAUAUGAAGUAGACAGACACCUUCUGAAGUUUUGUGCAUGCUGUGCUCUUUUUUUCUUUGCUGCAACAAGAAAAGCCUUUUCUUUUAACCUGGCUUCCUUUGAAGAAGUAACUCAGGAAGCUUCAUGGCCUCUCAAGAAUCUCAAGGACAAACAAACCCAGUCUUUAAGGACUACCUCCCUGGUUCUUCUGACCUGCCAGAGCAGGACAAGCCUGCUGAGCCUGCAGGCCCAUGGAAGCAAGCCUCACAUACGCAUAACUUACCACCAGGGCUGGAGUACCUGAACCAGGUCCAGAAUCUUUCCUAAUGCUGGAACUGUUCUGUUUCAUCAUGGACUCCUUUGACAUUUGUGGGGUGGGGGUCUUUGGAGUUUUUUCUUGGGGAAGGUAAAUUAGAUAUGGAGAAGCGUUUCUGUUGUUUGACAUUUACUAUAAGGAAUGUACAAAUUAUAAGCUCUUCUUUCACUGCUGCUAUUCAUCUCUGCAGAAAUCUAUUUGCUGUGCAUGCAGCUCUCCUUGCCCUCAGAUGUGAUUUUAUUCUCUCUAGGACUUCUCCUAGGUCAUACUAUGACCCCUCUCACCGUCCCUCCAGUUUCCUUCCGGCUCCUUAAGGGCAACCACUGCCAAACCCUGGCUGACCUCAGAACUCGUCUGGUUGACUAAAACCAGCAGCGUGUUAGGGAAUCACACCCCUCUCCCUGAGGAACGUGGAGGUCUUUAGGGCAAAUUCCUUGUGCCCACAAGGACAACGCUCUCCAGCUGAGAGCAAGAAGCAAGUUCUCAAGGAGAUGACUGAGAGAAAGCCUGAGCAGCUGCAAACUUGCACCUCUGUUUUGGGCUGCAAGGCAGUAAAGGGGCAGUGCCCAAGCAGCGUAUUGCAGGGAAGCGGGAGCUGAAGAGGAGUUAUGAGGUUGUGAUUCUGAUGCAUCACUUGAGGGCUGUAUUUAAAAGAUGCUCUUCUGUAGUUUUGUAUAGAGGCAGAAAUUGAAUGCAUUUUCUAUUUGGAACCUAAGACAGUUAACAAAACUGGGAGACCCUUCAGAAGCCAUCUUUCAUGUGGAGUUAUGAUUUUCAUUUCAUGGAGCCUGUGCACAAAAUGAUAUGUGUUGUCAAUUACAGGAACAUUUGUUCACAGACUGUGGAGCUGCAUUUUUUAGUUGAAAAGUGAUUGUGAUAGUCAAUACUUGGCAGGUUACAUAUUCAGCUUUCUGCAUGAACACGAAUUACACCUUAGCUUCAUCUGUACAAUGUGGGCAAGCAAAUCCUAUUACUCCAUUUUGUGGAAGGUUUACAUCUGACAUAAAGUCUUCAUUCUCAGCUCAAUAACCAUGUGUCUGUGCUGCAGCCCUUACUAAUUAAUCUGUUUGCUCCUGAGAUGACUCCUGGCUCCUUGUGUGUUUGGGUCCCUGUGAGGCUGCAUUUGUGAGGGGAGGGCAUCAGCUGGGCCCUCAGCAUCCCCUUUUCUGGCCAGGGGAAGUCCUGUGGACCAGACCCACUGUCUGCAUCAGAACUUGCAGGCAGAACCACUCAUCUAAAUGAUGGAAAGUAUUUCUUGCUGAACUGGGGAUUUUUGAUGGAGCAUACUGUCUAUGCUUCUGGUUGUGUAUGCGUUAUGGAUGCGGGUACCCAACCGGAGCAGGCACAGAGAAGUGCCAUCUAAAGGGCACAGGGAAUAGAGAACCUGCUUUAAAAUAAGACUGCAAAUUUUUCAUUUUUAGAUUAAAAAAAUGCUA
rnacentral:lncRNA from 1 species